rnacentral:rRNA from 1 species
CCUACGGGUGGCAGCAGUGAGGAAUAUUGGUCAAUGGGCUUACGCCUGAACCAGCCACGUCGCGUGAGGGAAGACUGCCCUAUGGGUUGUAAGCCUCUUUUGUCAGGGAGCAACGCCGGCCACGUGUAGCCGGACAGAGAGUAUCUGAAGAAAAAGCAUCGGCAACUACCGUGCCAGCGGCGGAGGUAUUAGGAGGAAUGGGGGGGUUUUCGGGAUUAAUGGGGUGUAAGGGAGGUUUAGGGGGUAUGUCAAGUCAGCGGGAAAGUCCGGGGGCUAAACCUCGCACUGCCGUUGAAACUGGCGGUCUGGAGUGGGGGAGAGGUAUGCGGAAUUCGUGGUGUAGCGGUGAAAUGCGUAGAUAUCACGAAGAACUCCGAUUGCGAAGGCAGCUUACCGGAGUGCAACUGACGCUGAGGCACGAAAGCGUGGGUAGCAAACAGGAUUAGAUACCCCAGUAGUC